ACACACACAAAAAAAAGACAGAGGAGAUAUCAAGUACUGUCAGUAUCCACCAUCAGAUUACAUUCUAAAAUUACUACCUCUGAUCUUAUUCAGGGGAGCGGGAAGAGGGAGAGAGGAAAAGAGACCCACAGCAAAUCAUAUGCAGGUACCUUUGGGAAAAGCCUUUAUGAACUUGCUCCCCACAGUUGUUGAAAAAAGAUAUGAAGGAGGAAAGGCAGUGACGUGUCCUCUGCCAUUCCUCACCGAACAUCUGUGGAUGGCAGAUGAGCAGAAUGCCCACGGAUCACAGGCAGAUGGGCUUCUCUCCUCAUCUCAUCAUGGCUGCCAGAGACAGAGUGCUGAUUUGACCCCGACAGGAUGUCCAUAUAAAAUGAAGCUGCUGGAGAUGGUCUGAGCAAUCAUCUGGAUGAAAAGAGCACAGAUGUGGACUGAUACAUUUAGUACUGGUUCUGCAGGAGCAGAAACUGGAGGCCUUGGUCCCCUCACACAGAGGAAAUCACGGUUACAGGAACCACACGUACCAGGAAACUCUCAGUAUAAAUCAUGGCAGUAUCAACUAAAGGGGAUGGGAGCAUCAGCCACAAGCAGGACAGGAAUGUCACUCGUGAAACGAAGGAAGGAAACAAGGAAAGGA